GAGAAAGAAGGACUCUCUGACUAGUGAUUACGCGCCGCGUGAUGGUCAUCACGCGCGGCGUGGCCUUUAUGAAAGAAGUUCUUGACCGUUACAAGUUGUACUACGCGCGACGUAGCAGGGGUCACGCGCGGCGUGACUGCACAUGAAAGCGUGUAAAAUUUGAAUUUCUUCAUCUUCCCAACCACUCCAUCAAUCCCAUCAUCAAUUCACACGUCCUCUCACGCGAAAAACUCCAUUGUUAACCCAUUUUCAUCCUUCAAACCUCUCCAAUUUCAUCUCUAAUCACCUUCAAUCAUCCCAUUCCUUCACACUCACACAAAACCCAUCUUAACCACUCCAAUUCCACUUCCAAUUUCUCAUUUCACCACUUUCCCAAAAUCAACACAUUUCAACCUCCACUCUCCCAUCAUUCAAUCAAGAU
rnacentral:lncRNA from 1 species